AGUACGUUACCUACAGAAGAAGCACCGGCUAACUCCGUGCCAGCAGCCGCGGUAAUACGGAGGGUGCGAGCGUUAAUCGGAAUUACUGGGCGUAAAGCGCAUGCAGGCGGCCUGUUAAGUCAGAUGUGAAAGCCCGGGGCUUAACCUCGGAAUUGCAUUUGAAACUGGCAGGCUAGAGUCUUGUAGAGGGGGGUAGGAAUUUCAGGUGUAGCGGUGAAAUGCGUAGAGAUCUGAAGGAAUACCAGUGGCGAAGGCGGCCCCCUGGACAAAGACUGACGCUCAGAUGCGAAAGCGUGGGGAGCAAACAGGAUUAGAUACCCUGGUAG
rnacentral:rRNA from 1 species